rnacentral:rRNA from 1 species
UUUUAUUUGAGAGUUUGAUCCUGGCUCAGGAUGAACGCUGGCGGCGUGCCUAACACAUGCAAGUUGAGCGAUUUACUUCGGUAAAGAGCGGCGGACGGGUGAGUAACGCGUGGGUAACCUACCCUGUACACACGGAUAACAUACCGAAAGGUAUGCUAAUACGGGAUAAUAUAUUUGAGAGGCAUCUCUUGAAUAUCAAAGGUGAGCCAGUACAGGAUGGACCCGCGUCUGAUUAGCUAGUUGGUAAGGUAACGGCUUACCAAGGCGACGAUCAGUAGCCGACCUGAGAGGGUGAUCGGCCACAUUGGAACUGAGACACGGUCCAAACUCCUACGGGAGGCAGCAGUGGGGAAUAUUGCACAAUGGGCGAAAGCCUGAUGCAGCAACGCCGCGUGAGUGAUGAAGGCCUUCGGGUCGUAAAACUCUGUCCUCAAGGAAGAUAAUGACGGUACUUGAGGAGGAAGCCCCGGCUAACUACGUGCCAGCAGCCGCGGUAAUACGUAGGGGGCUAGCGUUAUCCGGAUUUACUGGGCGUAAAGGGUGCGUAGGCGGUCUUUCAA